UACGUAGGGGGCGAGCGUUGUCCGAAGUUACUGGGCGUAAAGCGCACGUAGGCGGUUAUCUAAGUCUGGGGUGAAAGGUUCAGUGCUUAACGCGAACAGUGCCUUGGAGACUGGAUGACUUGGGUUUGGGAGAGGGUAGUGGAAUGGCUGGUGUAGCGGUGAAAUGCGUAGAUAUCAGUCGGAACACCAAUGGCGAAGGCAGCUACCUGGCCUAAAACUGACGCUGAGGUGCGAAAGCGUGGGGAGCGAACGGG
rnacentral:rRNA from 1 species